rnacentral:tRNA from 1 species
CGGUUUAAAUCCUUCCUCUACUA